UACGGAAGGUGCAAGCGUUAUCCGGAUUUGCUGGGUUUAAAGGGUGCGUAGGCGGGCAGGUAAGUCCGUGGUGAAAUCUCUGAGCUUAACUCAGAAACUGCCAUGGAUACUAUUUGUCUUGAAUAUUGGGGAGGUAAGCGGAAUAUGUCAUGUAGCGGUGAAAUGCUUAGAUAUGACAUAGAACACCAAUUGCGAAGGCAGCUUACUACACAGUUAUUGACGCUGAGGCACGAAAGCGUGGGGAUCAAACAGG
rnacentral:rRNA from 1 species